rnacentral:rRNA from 1 species
UUUGAUCAUGGCUCAGAACGUACGCUGGCGGCACGCCUAACACAUGCAAGUCGAACGAAGUAGCAAUACUUAGUGGCAGACGGGUGAGUAACAUGUGGGUAUCUACCCUUUGGCCUGGAAUAACACGAGGAAACUUGUGCUAAUACCGGAUAAGUCUUUACGGAGAAAGCUUUAUGCACCAUUGGAUGAGCCCGCACUUGAUUAGUUUGUUGGUAGGGUAAUGGCCUACCAAGACUAUGAUCAAUAGCUGAUUUGAGAGGAUGAUCAGCCACAUUGGGACUGAGACACGGCCCAAACUCUUACGGGAGGCAGCAGUGGGGAAUCUUGCACAAUGGAGGAAACUCUGAUGCAGCGAUGCCGCGUGAGUGAAGAAGGCCNUUGGGUUGUAAAGCUCUUUCGUCGGGGAAGAAAAUGACUGUACCCG